GGCAACUUGGCCGAGCGGUCUAAGGCGCCACGUUAAGGAGUAUCCUUGAUAUCAAACCCACUGGGUUCCGUGGUCCGAAAGGGCGUGAGUUCGAAUCUCACAGUUGUCA